rnacentral:antisense_RNA from 1 species
UUAGCAUUCGUCGCCAACGAGAAAUUGGGGUCGGCCCGAAAGCUCUAGAAUGCACCCCCCUUCUUCCCCGGGGCCUUCCACCUCCGCGAGUUUUAUGACUUAAAAAACCCCACAGGCUGGUCUGAAGGUCGGAGGCCUAAUUUUAACGCGUUUUCCUCCCUUUAAUUUGAAACGCGAACGCGAAUGGCUGUAAAAUGUGGGCACAAUAUUUAAUUUCUCGCCUUUUUAAAGCUUAAUAGUGGAUAAUAGGGGGCAGUAUCAAGGGAUAAUUUGGGUCCCCACAGUACCAAAGCAUUUAGAAACCUCUGUUUAAUUUAAGGAAUGAGAUAAAUUACUGCUUUUCUAGACUUCCUAGCAUGGGCUGUUGUGCUGGAGAGAACGAGAGCUACGAAGAGACUACAAUGCCUCUGACUUUUUCAUAGGACAGUUGGCCGAGGAAGACAAACAUAAAGAUGAAGUGCUUAAUUCAAGGUCACACAAUGUCGGGGAUGGACCUCCAGAUUUCCUUACUGGUGAGACGUGGUCUUGUAACACAGUGGUUAAGAAUGUGACUUUGGAGCCAGCCUGCUAGGGGCUGAAUUCUGACUCAGCCAUUUACUAACUGUGUGACCUUAGGGAGGAGGACCUGGUUGAUAGAAGAAUUUAUCUCGUAGUCUUAACAUCCACU